CCUUACCCCCGCCCUCACCUUGACAAUACACAAGCACGCAGCACGGAUUGAUGGCACUAAAACGCAAUGAAAGAAACAGUUGAAGUGAAGGCACAGCUGAGGACGCACGUGUGAGUAUCUCUCUCUCAGACGUUGGCUCCAUCUCCCUAAAGCUUCUCUCGCUCACAGCCUUUCAGCCAGCACCUUCACGCUCUCUUCAUUGCCCGUGAUGCACUCUUGUAGCGGUAAACCUCCGUGCAGAGCUCUUGCUGUAGGCGGGUUCGCCUGCGCCGAAGGAGCAAGUCCUGAAAGAAAGUGUGUUGCACAUCUGAUACCUUCACGCAAUGCACACUGCGGACGUUCUGUGCCCCUCCUGCAGGCUCGCCAGAGGCGUAUCGCUGUCAUGUGCGCGAUCGCCGUCUCUGCCUGAGCCAACGCCGUGUGGGGCACUCUAUCAUUCGGUGCCCUCUUUGGUGGCGCUCUUCUAUUUUUCCCUGUUGCCCCUUCACGUCGAGCUAUCGGGAAGUGGCAUGCGGAUGUGUGCGACUCGGGUACGCUACCGAGCUACCCAAUCCUCUGCUUUCGGCUCUCUUCCACGUACAAGGCCGUUGCUGUGGUCACUGCCGAUCCGCUUCACUCGCAGCGGAUUUCCGUCGCGUUCCUCCUCUCGCUUUUCUUUCCAUCGCUUCACGGGGUUUUUUGAUAACUUUUUUUCAG
rnacentral:misc_RNA from 1 species